UUAAGUGUUGGCACUUUGGGAAGGCCCUGUAGUGGGAUUUCCAUAGCUCUCCCAGUUCCCUGAUAACCAUGGUUCCCAGACCUUUUCGUAUCGUGUCCUGGUGUCUCUCACUAGUGCGGUAAGGUGGUCCAUGACCUGGAUAUCUUUGAUUUUGUGGAGUACAGUGUUGAUCUGUGGGAUUGUAGUUUGGAGCCAUGUCUGCGCCAUGGUGAGUCUGGCCGCCAGUGUGAUUUUGUGUAGGAGUUUCUGGUCCUUUUUAGGCCAGUCUUCUAGUGUUCUGGAGAGCAGAAAAACCC